rnacentral:misc_RNA from 1 species
GGAAAACUCCUCUAGAAGGAUGAAGGGUGGAAUGAUCACUAUGCCCUUCAUAUUUGCAAAUGAGAUAUGUGAGAAAUUGGCAGUGGUUGGGUUUGGUACAAAUAUGGUCAUUUACUUGACAAAUGAACUCCAUCUUCCAUUAACAAAAGCAGCAAAUACACUAACAAAUUUUGGUGGCACUGCAAGUUUGACACCAUUGAUCGGAGCUUUUAUUGCUGAUACUUUUGCUGGAAGAUUUUGGACUAUAACUGUUGCUUCUAUCAUCUACCAAAUUGGCAUGAUCAUAUUAACAUUAUCAGCAAUACUACCACAACUAAGGCCACCAUCAUGCAAAGAUGAUGAAUAUUGCAAAGAAGCAAAUUCAAGUCAAUUAGCCAUUUUAUAUGUGUCAUUACUCUUAACAGCCUUUGGGUCAGGUGGAAUUAGGCCAUGUGUUGUUGCAUUUGGGGCUGACCAAUUUGAUGAAAAUGAUCCAAAUCAAAAAACACAAACAUGGAAAUUCUUUAAUUGGUAUUAUUUUUGUAUGGGAUUUUCAAUGCUUGUGGCUGUCACAGUAAUUGUUUAUAUUCAAGACAAUAUUGGAUGGGGUGUUGGAUUUGGUGUCCCAACAAUUGCUAUGCUUAUAUCAAUUGUUGUUUUUAUAUUUGGAUACCCUUUGUAUAGAAAUUUGGAUCCUGCUGGUAGCCCUUUUACUAGGCUAGUGCAAGUUUGUGUUGCUGCCUACAAAAAGAGGAAAUUGGAUAUGGUAAAUGAUACUAAUUUGCUUUAUCAAAAUCAAGAACUUGAUGCUGAUAUUUCUACUGCUGGCAAGCUUGUCCACACUAAGCAAAUGAAAUUGUUGGACAGAGCAGCAAUAGUAACAGAGGAGGACAACCCUAAAUCUCCGA